rnacentral:rRNA from 1 species
GACGAACGCUGGCGGCGUGCUUAACACAUGCAAGUCGAACGGAAAGGCCCUGCUUUUGUGGGGUGCUCGAUUGGCGAACGGGUGAGUAACACGUGAGUAACCUGCCCUUGACUUUGGGAUAACUUCAGGAAACUGGGGCUAAUACCGGAUAGGAGCUCCUGCUGCAUGGUGGGGGUUGGAAAGUUUCGGCGGUUGGGGAUGGACUCGCGGCUUAUCAGCUUGUUGGUGGGGUAGUGGCUUACCAAGGCUUUGACGGGUAGCCGGCCUGAGAGGGUGACCGGCCACAUUGGGACUGAGAUACGGCCCAGACUCCUACGGGAGGCAGCAGUGGGGAAUAUUGCACAAUGGGCGGAAGCCUGAUGCAGCAACGCCGCGUGCGGGAUGACGGCCUUCGGGUUGUAAACCGCUUUCGCCUGUGACGAAGCGUGAGUGACGGUAAUGGGUAAAAAAGCACCGGCUAACUACGUG